UGAGGCGAACCGGGGGAACUGAAACAUCUAAGUACCCCGAGGAAAAGAAAUCAACCGAGAUUCCCCCAGUAGCGGCGAGCGAACGGGGAGCAGCCCAGAGCCUGAAUCAGUAUGUGUGUUAGUGGAAGCGUCUGGAAAGGCGCGCGAUACAGGGUGACAGCCCCGUACACAAAAAUGCACAUAUUGUGAGCUCGAUGAGUAGGGCGGGACACGUGGUAUCCUG
rnacentral:rRNA from 1 species